GUUCAUCUUCGGGGCUGGGUGAAAUUCCCGACCGGCGGUAAUAAGGGUGUAUCCUUUAAGCCCGCGAGUCUAAUUUUUAGACAGGAUUUGGUGAGAUUCCAAAGCCGACAGUAUAGUCUGGAUGGGAGAAGAUGGAG
rnacentral:ncRNA from 2 species